AACGAAUGCUGGCGGCAUGCCUAACACAUGCAAGUCGAACGAGACCUUCGGGUCUAGUGGCGCACGGGUGCGUAACGCGUGGGAACCUGCCCUUAGGUUCGGAAUAACUCCCCGAAAGGGGUGCUAAUACCGGAUAAUGUCUUCGGACCAAAGAUUUAUCGCCUUUGGAUGGGCCCGCGUUGGAUUAGCUAGUUGGUAGGGUAAAAGCCUACCAAGGCGACGAUCCAUAGCUGGUCUGAGAGGAUGAUCAGCCACACUGGGACUGAGACACGGCCCAGACUCCUACGGGAGGCAGCAGUGGGGAAUAUUGGACAAUGGGCGAAAGCCUGAUCCAGCAAUGCCGCGUGAGUGAUGAAGGCCUUAGGGUUGUAAAGCUCUUUUACCCGGGAUGAUAAUGACAGUACCGGGAGAAUAAGCUCCAGCUAACUCCGUG
rnacentral:rRNA from 1 species